GAGACGAGUGGCGAACUGGUGAGUAACACGUGGGUAACCUGCCCUUGAAGUAGGGGAUAACACUUGGAAACAGGUGCUAAUACCGUAUAACAACCAAAACCACCUGGUUUUGGUUUAAAAGACGGCUUCGGCUGUCACUUUAGGAUGGACCCGCGGCGUAUUAGCUUGUUGGUAAGGUAACGGCCUACCAAGGCGAUGAUACGUAGCCGACCUGAGAGGGUAAUCGGCCACAUUGGGACUGAGACACGGCCCAAACUCCUACGGGAGGCAGCAGUAGGGAAUCUUCCACAAUGGACGAAAGUCUGAUGGAGCAACGCCGCGUGAGUGAUGAAGGGUUUCGGCUCGUAAAACUCUGUUGUUGGAGAAGAACAGGUGUCAGAGUAACUGUUGACAUCUUGACGGUAUCCAACCAGAAAGCCACGGCUAACUACGUGCCAGCAGCCGCGGUAAUACGUAGGUGGCAAGCGUUGUCCGGAUUUAUUGGGCGUAAAGCGAGCGCAGGCGGUUUUUUAGGUCUGAUGUGAAAGCCUUCGGCUUAACCGGAGAAGUGCAUCGGAAACCGGGAGACUUGAGUGCAGAAGAGGACAGUGGAACUCCAUGUGUAGCGGUGAAAUGCGUAGAUAUAUGGAAGAACACCAGUGGCGAAGGCGGCUGUCUGGUCUGUAACUGACGCUGAGGCUCGAAAGCAUGGGUAGCGAACAGGAUUAGAUACCCUG
rnacentral:rRNA from 1 species